AAGCCGUAGUAUAAAUACACACAACAUAUCAUAUCUAAUCCUACAAGUAGGGUUUUAACUUUAAGUUUUCAUUUCCCCCAAAUCUAUAUCUAUACACGUAUAUACAUACAUACAUACUGACGCUUGUGAGUGAAUAAUGGACGCGUAUGCGUUGCAUCUAGCUAUGGCGGCACUAGUCGGAGCCUCCUUUGUGGCAGUUUCGGCUUACUAUAUGCACCGGAAAACCCUAAAUCAGCUGCUGGAGUUUGCAAAAUCUGUUGAGAGAGACAGAGAAGAUGUAGAGGAUGAGCAUUACAAGAAGCAGGAGAAGCCGUCGCAGCGGCGGAUCCACGGUGGCCGGAGAAAUGUUGUUUACCGCCGGGCGUCCGCUUCGUUGCCUGACGUCACCUCCAUCUCUCGUGCUCAUGAUGAUGAUGAUGCUAUUAUUCCUGCUGGGUUGCAUAGACUCCAUACGCUUCCUGAAGGGAAAUCUACUAGCCAUACUGGUUUGGCAAAAAGAGCUUCACUCAUACUAAGACCAACUUCUCCAAAAUCUCCGGUUGCAAGUGCAAGUGCUUUCGAAAGUGUUGAAGGAUCAGAUGAAGACGUUGAUGUUGAUGUCAAUGACAAUGACAAUGUUAAUUUAGAUGCCACAUAUCUUAACACAAACGGGAAUGCGGGCCCAGAGGGCGCAAGUGUUAAUGCAAAUGGCGAACAAUUGCCCAUAGCUGCAGCCGCUUUGAUCCGGUCACAUAGCGUAUCUGGUGAUCUACAUGGUGUACAACCGUAUCCUGUCGCUGCUGAUAUUCUUCGAAAGGAGCCAGAGCAGGAAACGUUUGUACGGCUUAGAAUCUCUCCAUAUGACACACCGUCACCUGAUGAAGCAGAGGUUUACAGGACUAUACAAGAUUGCCUUGAAAUGAGGAACAGUUAUGUGUUUAGAGAAAGCAUUGCACCAUGGGAAAAAGAAAUCAUAUCGGACCCUAGUACCCCUAAACGCAAUCCAAAUCCUUUUUCUUAUGUUCCCGAACCAAAAUCUGAUCAUUACUUUGAAAUGGAAGAUGGUGUCGUUCACGUUUACGCAAAUAAAGAUUCAAAAGAGAAGCUUUUUCCCGUUGUGGACGCAACAACCUUUUUUACUGACCUACAUCACCUCCUUAAAGUGAUAGCUGCUGGGAAUACACGAACAGUAUGUCAUCACCGGCUCGGUCUUCUAGAACAGAAAUUCAACCUUCAUUUAAUGCUAAACGCGGAUAAAGAGUUUUUAGCUCAGAAAAGUGCACCACACCGCGACUUCUAUAAUGUUCGGAAAGUCGAUACCCAUGUUCAUCAUUCUGCAUGCAUGAAUCAAAAGCAUUUGUUACGGUUCAUAAAGUCUAAGUUGAGGAAAGAACCUGAUGAGGUUGUAAUAUUUAGGGAUGGGACGUACCUGACUUUAAGAGAAGUUUUUGAGAGCUUGGAUUUAACUAGUUAUGACCUCAAUGUUGAUCUGUUAGAUGUGCAUGCAGACAAGAGCACCUUUCAUCGUUUCGACAAAUUUAAUCUCAAGUAUAAUCCCUGUGGUCAGAGUAGGCUUCGGGAGAUUUUCUUGAAGCAAGAUAAUUUAAUCCAGGGUCGCUUCCUUGCUGAGUUGACCAAACAAGUAUUCACGGAUCUUGACGCAAGUAAAUAUCAAAUGGCUGAAUACAGAAUAUCAAUAUACGGGAGAAAGCAAAGUGAAUGGGACAAUUUGGCAAGUUGGAUUGUGAAUAACGAACUCUACAGUGAUAAUGUUGUCUGGCUGAUUCAGCUGCCUCGACUUUACAAUAUAUACAAGGAAAUGGGUAUUGUGACAUCAUUUCAGACCAUUCUCGACAAUAUAUUCCUUCCUCUUUUCGAGGUUACAGUUGACCCAGGAUCACAUCCGCAGUUGCAUGUUUUCUUGAAACAGGUUGUGGGUUUGGAUUUAGUAGAUGAUGAAAGCAAGCCUGAAAGACGCCCUACAAAGCACAUGCCAACACCUGCACAAUGGACCAAUAUAUUCAACCCUGCGUUUUCAUAUUACGUUUACUAUUGCUACGCUAACCUCUAUACCCUAAACAAGCUUCGUGAAUCAAAAGGCAUGACUACAAUCAGAUUCCGCCCUCAUUGUGGUGAGGCUGGUGACAUCGACCAUCUUGCUGCUGCGUUUCUUACAACGCAUAACAUCGCACACGGGAUUAAUCUGAGAAAGUCUCCUGUACUUCAAUACCUGUACUACCUUGCGCAGAUUGGUCUUGCAAUGUCUCCUUUGAGCAACAACUCGUUAUUUCUAGAUUAUCAUCGGAACCCCUUUCCGAUGUUUUUCCUCAGAGGCCUUAAUGUUUCUUUAUCUACUGAUGACCCGUUACAAAUCCACCUAACAAAGGAACCAUUAGUGGAGGAGUACAGUAUUGCUGCUUCUGUGUGGAAGUUGAGUGCUUGUGAUCUCUGUGAGAUUGCGCGUAACUCAGUUUACCAAUCAGGUUUCUCACAUGUUUUGAAGUCGCAUUGGAUCGGUUCGGAGUACUAUAAGAGAGGACCAGAUGGAAAUGAUAUUCACAGGACAAACGUGCCGCAUAUCCGGCUUGAAUUCCGUGACAUGAUCUGGAGAGAGGAGAUGCAACAGGUUUAUCUAGGGAGAGCCGAAUUGCCUGAAUACAUCGAGACUUAGCUUCUUUCAUGUCAUUCCACCAUUUGUCGGUUUCCGGAGGUAACUAACUUUCGAUUUUAGUUCCGUUGGCCAACUUUUGGUGAAUUCCUGAAGCUCAAGAGCUAAUGUGAGAGUUCAGUGAAAGCUUUAGGUCAAUCCAUCUAAGUGUAUAUAAGAGGACCUGAGAUGUAUUCUAUAUCACAAGAUGAUGAUGAUCUUUUUAAGGCUUUUGGACCUUUGGUGGUGUCUUAAUGAAUAACCAGAACAAUUAUUGUAAGAUAUGUUUAAUAAGCAUUUUUAUCAGUCCAUUUAAACAUGAAGAUGUUGAGAUUC